AGCGAACGCUGGCGGCAGGCCUAACACAUGCAAGUCGAACGAAGUCUUCGGACUUAGUGGCGGACGGGUGAGUAACACGUGGGAACGUACCUUUUGGUUCGGAACAACUCAGGGAAACUUGAGCUAAUACCGGAUGAGCCCUUAGGGGGAAAGAUUUAUCGCCGAAAGAGCGGCCCGCGUUAGAUUAGCUAGUUGGUGAGGUAAAGGCUCACCAAGGCUACGAUCUAUAGCUGGUCUGAGAGGAUGAUCAGCCACACUGGGACUGAGACACGGCCCAGAAUCCUACGGGAGGCAGCAGUGUGGAAUCUUGCGCAAUGGGCGAAAGCCUGACGCAGCCAUGCCGCGUGAAUGAUGAAGGUCUUAGGAUUGUAAAAUUCUUUUCCCAGGGACGAUAAUGACGGUACCUGGAGAAAAAGCCCCGGCUAACUUCGUGCCAGCCGCCGCCGUAAUAC
rnacentral:rRNA from 1 species